rfam:Nicotiana attenuata strain TT chromosome 2, whole genome shotgun sequence.
CAUUAGCUCAGUUGGUUAGAGCGUCGUGCUAAUAACGCGAAGGUCGCAGGUUCGAGACAGAACCUGCAUG